AUGAUCAGUCGUUCGUCCUAUGUUUGGCAGAGUAUUUGGGCAGGGGUACAAACUUUCAAGAAAGGCUGCAUAUGGAGGGUAGGCAAUGGGAUGAAGAUAAACAUCUGGGAAGACUGCUGGAUACCAAAUAGUACAUCCAGGAAGAUUAUAACAGUCCGGGGCAACUGUGUUCUGACGACGGUGAAUGAACUUAUAAAUCCUGUCACUGGAGAAUGGGAUGAAGCACUAAUACGGGACAACUUUUGGCAUAUUGAUGCGGAGAGGAUUUUGCAAAUUCCGAUCUUUCAUCAUGAUACGGAAGAUUUUGUUUCUUGGCACCUCACAAAGUCGGGCAUUUUUUCUGUCCGGUCUGCCUACUACAGGCAAUGGGAGGACACCUACGUAUCAAGUAACUCAAGUCCCUCUGGAAUAAGUGGCUCCUUGGCUCACCCAGCAUGGAAGAAACUUUGGAGCUUAAAGGUACCAAGUAAGAUAAAAAUAUUCUUAUGGAGAUGCUUACAUAAUGCAAUUCCUUGCUGCUGCGUGUUAGCAAACAGGCAUAUAGCUCAAUCAGGACAAUGUCCACUCUGCUUGAAAGAAGCAGAAGACGUUGCACAUAUGGCGUUCAAGUGUACCCAGGCUCAGGAAAUUUGGAGGAGCCUAGGCGUACAUGAAAUAAUAGAGCAGGUGGCUACACUAGGCAGAUCGGGGGCGGAGAUACUGGAGAUAUUUCUCUGCGACCCAGCGCAUCAAACACAAUAUAUGGACUCGGUUGAUCUAACUGAGUUGAUCGCUGUGGCGAGCUGGUAUCUAUGGUGGCGAAGAAGGCAAAUUGUGUGA
rnacentral:rRNA from 1 species